rnacentral:lncRNA from 1 species
CAGGUCACAGUCAGACAUUUUCCUCAAAUCUCACUCGAAAGCAUCAACACCCCAAAGAGAAGCCAUGAAGCCAGUGAUCGUGCUGUACGUUGCGCUGAUGAUGAUUGCACUGGUGUGCAAUGCUUAUGCUGCAUGUGAGAAUGGAUGGUGUACCAAGAAAUGUAGUAGUAAUGAAUAUGAAGACCGCAAUUCAUACUGUGGGGGUGGAAAUAUAUGCUGUGUUGAAAAAGGCAAUUGAAGAACAUCCGUGAAGGAAGACUGUGUGGAUCAAGCAACAUGCAUUAUUGUUUUGUUUUUUCUUCCAUUUAAGUUUACACAAGACAUGGAUUCAUCAUGAUUUGUAUUUAAGCCUGUUUGAUGCCAGUUUGAAUAAAAUCAAAUUUCACAACUAUG